GGGGAUGGACCUCCAGAUUUCCUUACUGGAAAACAAGCUCAGGGCUCCCACUGAUUGUACAUUAUGGUGAGACGUGGUCUUGUAACACAGUGGUUAAGAAUGUGACUUUGGAGCCAGCCUGCUAGGGGCUGAAUUCUGACUCAGCCAUUUACUAACUGUGUGACCUUAGGUCACAGAAUUUUCCACACUCCUUGACAGAGGUGCUUAACCCUUAUCCAUCAGCAUUCUCAGACAGCACCUCCGGUUAGGGACAGUAUCUGACCGUCCGACAUCCCUGCAGCCCCCAUGUGUCACACAGACUCAGCCUCAGGUAGAUGGUUUCCGUAGAUGGUGGCUUUCUUUGGACCCUUGACAUCAACCAGUUACUAUUUGACUCUUCUGCAGAACCCCAUGUUGACCCCUGCUUUGAGGUGGCAGAGUUAACACUACUCUUCGUUAUAAGCUCUCGUCUGGGGCAACUCAGAAGAACCUCAGCAAGGCCCACAUUUUCCCGGUGAAGCCACAGAACCACAGGGAGAAACCCAUGGACUUCGCCUCUCUCUCUAGGGGACCAGAUGUGCAGAGGUAAUGAAUACCAGGGAAUCAGGAAACCACUGGAUCAGUUCUUUGAGCCACAGAACAACACUCAUCCCAGCAGCUGGGAAGCUAUCUGCAAAAGUCCAUCUGCAGAAAGGGCUUCCUGGUCUUGCGUGUGGCUGGGCCAUUUCUCUGGAUGCAGGUUUUUCAUUAUACAGUCUUCUCAAAGAACCACCUGCUCUCAACACC
rnacentral:lncRNA from 1 species